rnacentral:lncRNA from 1 species
CUGUUCCGGUGGCUCCAUGCUUGCUGUCCACACAGAGAUUUGCUGCCACAUUUCGGAUCUGUGGAAAGAAGAAAGAAUUUUGAGUGUGGGGCUAUGUCGUAUUUUAUCAUUGGCUCCUAACAACCAUGGUGUAGAUUAGAUAAGUAAAUUAAGGGUGCACAAGAGGAGAGAAAAUGAGAUCUGAUAGAAAACUUCACCGUGAGACUUCAAGAAUAUCUGCAGAGAAACUCAUCAAAA